AUACGUAGGGGGCAAGCGUUAUCCGGAUUUACUGGGUGUAAAGGGAGCGUAGACGGAAUGGCAAGUCUGAUGUGAAAGGCCGGGGCUCAACCCCGGGACUGCAUUGGAAACUGUCAGGCUAGAGUGCAGGAGGGGUAAGCGGAAUUCCUAGUGUAGCGGUGAAAUGCGUAGAUAUUAGGAGGAACACCGGUGGCGAAGGCGGCUUGCAGGACUGUAACUGACGUUGAGGCUCGAAAGCGUGGGUAGCAAACAGGAUUAGAUGCCCUGGUAGUCCACGCCGUAAACGAUGAAUACUAGGUGUUGGGUUCCAAUAGGGAUUCGGUGCCGCAGCUAACGCAAUAAGUAUUCCACCUGGGGAGUACGUUCGCAAGAAUGAAACUCAAAUGAAUUGGCGGGG
rnacentral:rRNA from 1 species